UACGGAGGGAGCUAGCGUUGUUCGGAAUUACUGGGCGUAAAGCGCACGUAGGCGGCUACUCAAGUCAGAGGUGAAAGCCCAGGGCUCAACCCUGGAACUGCCUUUGAAACUAGGUAGCUAGAAUCUUGGAGAGGUCAGUGGAAUUCCGAGUGUAGAGGUGAAAUUCGUAGAUAUUCGGAAGAACACCAGUGGCGAAGGCGACUGACUGGACAAGUAUUGACGCUGAGGUGCGAAAGCGUGGGGAGCAAACAGGAUUAGAU
rnacentral:rRNA from 1 species